ACCAAACCAUUCGCCAAAAGGUUGCCAAAGGCGUUUAGCCUCAGCUGCACUGUAGUUUGUUAGGAGUGCAGGGAAAGGGAAUGAGGGAUGUGAGUGGGCAACGUGGCUGGGAUCCCAGUUCCCAGUUGUUAUGGUGGAGGGGAUUUUUUCCUUUUUUUUUUUUUUUUUUUUGGUACUUCGAUAGAUGCCACUGCAAAGCGAAAUCUUUGCGGAGAGCUGCUCAUGCAUUCAGACUGCAGAGUUUUCAAAAUGUGAUGUUUUGCAAUGAUGACAUUAGAGUAGCAACCAAGAGUCCGAGACAGAAACGCCUGCUGCAGCUGGGCUUCUCUUUGAAAUGCCCAAGACAAUGGGGUCCACUGUUCUCCAUCGCUUCGCCUUUCCAUUCCAUUUGCAUAGUCUGUUCUGCCUGAUUGACCAGGUUGGGCUGUCCAAGGGACCAGCAUUGUUCACAGAUCACUUCAAGAUGGCACAGAUGACAAGAUUCAGACCUCACCUUCCCCUGGAUAAGAUGAGAGCCGUGCCAUUGGAUACCUCUGUGAAUCAGUCUGCUUUACUGACAAUCGUGAAACGACAAUAAAGUAAAUCUUAUCAUAGAA